rnacentral:rRNA from 1 species
AUUGAACGCUGGCGGCAUGCCUUACACAUGCAAGUCGAACGGUAACAGGUUAAGCUGACGAGUGGCGAACGGGUGAGUAAUAUAUCGGAAAGUGCCCAGUCGUGGGGGGUAACGUAGCGAAAGCUACGCUAAUACCGCAUACGAUCUACGGAUGAAAGCGGGGGAUCGAAAGACCCCGCGUGAUUGUAGCGGCCGAUAUAAGAUUAGGUUGUUGGGGAGGUAAAAGCUCACCAAGCCUGCGAUCUGUAGCUGGUCUGAGAGGACGACCAGCCACACUGGAACUGAGACACGGUCCAGACUCCUACGGGAGGCAGCAGUGGGGAAUUUUGGACAAUGGACGCAAGUCUGAUCCAGCAAUGCCGCGCGCAGGACGAAGGCCUUCGGGUUGUAAACUGCUUUUGUACGGAACGAAACGGUGAGCUCUAAUACGGUUUGCUAAUGACGGUACCGUAAGAAUAAGCACCGGCUAACUACGUGCCAGCCGCCGCAGUAA